CUCAGGCCAAAGCAGGCAAUGGACAGAACUCUUGUGGAGUAGAAGAUGUCCUUCAGCUUCUGCGUAUUCUAUAUAUAGUUGCAAGUGACCCUUAUUCAAGAAUAUCCCAGGAAGAUGGUGAUGAACAGCCUCAGUUUACUUUUCCACCAGAUGAAUUCACUAGCAAAAAAAUUACAACAAAAAUAUUACAGCAGAUUGAGGAACCAUUGGCACUGGCAAGUGGGGCUCUGCCAGACUGGUGUGAACAAUUAACCAGCAAAUGUCCUUUUCUAAUACCAUUUGAAACUAGACAGCUUUAUUUCACAUGUACAGCAUUUGGCGCCUCAAGGUAAGAAGCCUUUUUUUUAUGUUUUUAGAAUAAGUAUGCUUUUAUGUUAUGUAAGUUGAAAAUGUACAACUAUACUGUCAAGACUGAUAGAGGGAAUAUAUUAUCUUGUAUUCUUAUAAAGAAUAGUCAGCAUUGCCUUUUGGCCUGAACUACCAAUCUUCUAGUAAUUCGCCAAAAUGACUAAUCCAAAGGAAAGGAGGAGAGAUACCCGAUAGAUGUUUUCUAGGUCUUUUAGAAAACAUGGAGUUGUUCCUUUGGCCACGUAUAUGCAAAUCUAAAAGAGAGGUGAUACUGUAGACAUUAAGGGAAUGGGUACUGUUCAAAAAGGAAUGCCCCACAAGUGUUACCGUGGCUAAACUGGAAGAGUCUACAGUGUUACCCAGCAGGCUGUUGGCAUUGCUGUUUUUUUGUUUUUGUUUUUGUUUUUGUUUUUUUGAGACAGAGUCUCGCUCUGUCGCCCAGGCAGGAGUGCAGUGGUGUGAUCUCGGCUCACUGCAACCUCCGCCUCCCAGGUUCAAGCGAUUCUCCUGCCUCAGCCCCACUGAGUGGCUGGGAUUACAGGUGCACGCCACCACGCGUGGCUAAUGGCAUUGUUGUAAACAAACAAGGGCAAGAUUCUUACCAAGAGAAUUAAUGUGCAUAUUGAGCACAUUAAGCACUCUAAGAGCCGAGAUAGCUUCCUGAAACACAUGAAGGAAAAUGAUCAGAAAAAGAAGGAAGCCAAAGAGAAAGGUACCUGCAUUUAGCUGAAGUGCCAGCCUGUUCCACCCAGAGAAGCGCGCUGUGUGAAAACCAAGGGAAAGAAGUCUGAGCUGCUGGAACCUCUUCUCUGUGAAUUCAUGC
rnacentral:lncRNA from 1 species